rnacentral:rRNA from 1 species
AUUGAACGCUGGCGGCAGGCCUAACACAUGCAAGUCGAGCGAGCGGCGGACGGGUGAGUAAUGUCUGGGAAACUGCCUGAUGGAGGGGGAUAAAUACUGGAAACGGUAGAUAAUACCGCAUACUAUCACAUUUGCCCAGAUGGGAUUAUCUAGUAGGUGGGGUAACGGGUCACCUGGGCGCCAAUCCCUAGCUGGUCUGAGAGGAUGACCGGCCACAUUGGAACUGAGAAACGGUCCAGACUCCUACGGGAGGCAGCAGUGGGGAAUAUUGCACAAUGGGCGCAAGCCUGAUGAAGCAAUGCCGCGUGGGGGAAGAAGGCCUUCGGGUUGUAAAGCACGUUCAGCGGGGAGGCGUUACCCGCAGAAGAAGCACCGGCUAACUCCGUGCCAGCAGCCGCGGUAAUUC